GUACCAUUACAGGCGUCGAGAGAAAAUAAUGAUUACUUUGAUACCUUGAUAUAAUGGACUGUGUGUACAGCUCGCAACCAACGCUGGAGCUAUUAUAAUGGUUAAAACCCCGAAGCAACCCAUCCAAUCCAAAGGAAGCAAAUUCAAGAGGGCUUUCUGUUGAUGUCGUUCCACAGGCAGCCGGACGGCUUUACAACAUGCCAUCGCUUGGAGUGUGAUUUGUUACAAGCCCAGCCUUGUCAACUGGGAGGGGCGCUGAGGUGUGACCGGCUGAGAUGACCAACACUGGCCUCAGGGCUAGCCAAUCA
ensembl:lncRNA